rnacentral:rRNA from 1 species
GUGGAAUUCGGCUUAGAGUUUGAUCCUGGCUCAGGAUGAACGCUAGCGGCAGGCCUAACACAUGCAAGUCGAGGGGCAGCGGGAGAAAGCUUGCUUUUUCGCCGGCGACCGGCGCACGGGUGCGUAACGCGUAUACAACCUACCUUUUGCUGCGGGAUAGCCCAGAGAAAUUUGGAUUAACACCGCAUGGCAUAAGGUCCCGGCAUCGGGGCCUUAUUAAAGGCUACGGCAAAAGAUGGGUAUGCGUCCUAUUAGCUGGUUGGUGCGGUAACGGCGCACCAAGGCGACGAUAGGUAGGGGCCCUGAGAGGGGGAUCCCCCACACUGGUACUGAGACACGGACCAGACCCCUACGGGAGGCAGCAGUGAGGAAUAUUGGACAAUGGGCGAGAGCCUGAUCCAGCCAUGCCGCGUGCAGGAAGACUGCCCUAUGGGUUGUAAACUGCUUUUGUACGGGAAGAAACACCCCCUCGCGAAGGGGGCUUGACGGUACCGUAAGAAUAAGGAUCGGC